CAGUAUUAUUAGCUAAUCACCAUGCUGUACAUUACAGCCUCAUGACUUAUUUAUUUUAUAACUGAAAGUUUGUACCUUUUGACUCUAUACACCCCUUUUGCCCACCUCCCACGCCCUAGCCUCUGGCAACCACCAAUCUGUUCUCUGUGUCUAUGAACUUGGUUUUUUUUGGGGGGGGGCGUCCUAGAUUCCACAUAUAAAUUAGGUCAUACAGUAUUUGUCUUUCUCUGUCUCGCUUACUUCACUUAGCCAAUGUUCCCUGUUUUUAACCUCUAAGUUUCCAGCAAAAUUAUCCUCCAAGAAAUUCAGGACAUCGGAUGGGAGAACGUGAAGUAAACCACUGAGUUGGAGAUUUCAGAAGCAGCCAUGUUCAGGGGGUAACUGCAGCUAUUUGCAUACAUGAGCCAACAGAGGAAGACAAGCAAAUGACCCAGGACCGUCCUGUAGCAGCUUCUGCCUUGGUCUCUUAAAUCACUUGCUCUGGGGAAGCAAACUGCCUGGCCACGGGGACACUCAAGAGGCCGUAUAGACAGGUCCACAUGGAGAAGAACAAACUUUCCAGCCACGUGAACCAGCCCUCUUGGAAGCAGAUCCUCCCGUCUCUGUCAGCUUUCAGUUGACUGCAGUCUCAGCCAACAUCUGAUUGCAACUUUAUGAGAGACCCUGAACCAGAACCAAUGAGCCAAGUCAUUUCCAGAUUCUGGCCCCAAAGAAACUGUGAGAUAUAAUAAAUGAUUAUUGUUGCUUUAAGCCAGUACGUUUUGGGAUUUGUUAUGCAGUGUUAGACAAGUGUAAUACAAGGAUAUUAUUUAUCUAAUGUUACAUAACCGUAUUCCAAAACCGUAUUCAUGUGGCUUGAAAAUCACAAAAAUCAUGUAUUACUUAUUGUAAUUUCCGUGGGUCAAAAAUUUAAACAAGGCAGCAGGAACGCUUAUCUCUGUUCUGUGAUGUCUGGGGUAUCAGCUGAGGUAGCUUGAAGGCUGGAGGGUGGAAUCGCCUUAGGGCUCAUUCACUCACAUAUCUGACAAUUGCUACUGGUUGUCAGCUGCAGGCCUACCUGGGGCCGUUGCCUGGUACACCCAUUGUUAUGGAAUGAAUUGUGUCCCCCCAAAAAUUCAUAUGUUGUACUCCUAACUAACCUCCAGUACCUCAGAAUGUGACUGUAUUUAGAGAUAGGGACUUUAAGAGGUAAUUAAGCUCAAACGAGGCCAUUUAGAAUGGGCCCUAAUCCAAUCUGAUGGACUUGUGUCCUAACAAGAGAGGAAGAGACACCAAGGACGCUUGUGCACAGAGUAAAGGCCAUGGGGUAACACACAGAGAGGGUGGCCGUCGGCAAGCCAAGGAGAGAGGCCUCAGGAGAGAAACCAAACCUGCCACCACCUUGGUGUCGGACUUCGAUCCUCCAGGAAUGUGAGAAAAUAAAUUUCUUUUGUUUAAGCCACCCAGUCUGUGGCAGCCCUAGCAAACGAAUGUGCCCAUGCAUGUCCUUUCCAUGUGGCCUGAACUUCCUCAUGACAUGGCAGCUAUGUUCCAAAGGCUACCAGAGAGACAGAGACAGAGGUGUAGAUGCUGUCUUUUUUAAGACCUAGUUUCAGAAAUCACAUUGUAUUGCUUCUGACAUAUUUUAUUCAUUAGCAGUGAGUCAUUAUAUUAUGCCACUAAGUGAAUCACUAAGUUAUUCAAGGAAAAAAUAAUUCAACUUCAUCUUUUGAAAGAAGGAGAGUAAAAUAAUUUGCAGAUCUAUUUAAAAUCAUUACCAUCAUCGUCAUGUUCAUCACAUAGACUUUAAGAUGCUGUCAGGUAAGCCGGGUAGAAAUAGGCCCCAAGCAACUUGAUCGGAAGUGUGGAUCUGGAACUCAGCACUAGAGAUGUGGAUUUGGGAGUCAUCCACAUAUAGAAAUAGAAAGGGAAUGUGACCCCAGAGGAAGGGAGAGGACUCAGUCAUGAGGAAUGCCAAACCCAGCUUGGUGCUGCAUAAAUACUUGAUUUAUUGAAAGUAUUGGUUAAGGCUUCAAAAAGACAGCUACUCAGCCCACCUUGGGUAUUUACUACAAAGGAAAGUACUUGUUUUCUCCCAGUCUGUCAAAGCUUCCUAUCAGCAACUAAAGCACUGCCUAAUGCUCCACAACCAGAAUAGUUUUUAAAACAUGAUUGGCUCAUAAAAUGAAACAUCAUCCUUGUCUGCAAACUGGGUCCUAGGGGACCCACAGGCUACGUCCUUUGGGAUCUUAACCAGAAGACUGCUUUGUCCAGAACUCAAUCCCUUCCCACCUUUAGUAAUGGGCUGCUUUCUUGGGCUGCUCGGUACCUCCUUCCAUCGGCUGACCACUGCUGGCUUUCUUGUAGAGCAGGGUUCCCCAAGCCCUGGGCCUCGGACCAGGACGGGUCCGCGGCCUGUCAAGACCCGGGCCGCACAGCAGGAGGUGACCGGCGGGCAAGGGAGCAAAGCAUCACUCGCUGUACCGUGUGAACCUAUCCCCACCUCCGCCCCCCCGCCCCCCGCCCCAGGCCCCGUCCGUGGAAAAAGUGUCUUCUGCGAAACCGGUCCCUGGUGCCAAAAAGGUUGGGGACCGCUGUUGUAGAGAACCGUGAACUCAACCUAGGAGCUUUUUUUAAAACUAAAUACGACUUAAAUUUAAACCCUAAAUUUAAAAUACAUGUUCAUUGCGGGGGUGGGGGAGAAAUAUAUAUAUAUAUAGGUAAUUAACAAGAUGAAAAUAAAAAUCACCUAUAAUCUCACUACACAGGGCAUGUGCUGACAUCCUUCUGGACUCUUUUGCACAAAUAUACUCUUUUUAAAAAGGGGUCACUUUGAAUGUUUUGGUACUUUUUAAAAAUUAAAUAUGAUAUAAUAUGAAAUAUCUUCCAAGUGUUAAGUGAAUAUUAUUUUGCAACAUUCUUUUAAUAAUUUCCCAGAUGGUCCAUGAUGUUAUUUAAUCAAUCCUGUAUGGCUAAGGACCUAAGUAAUGUCCAUGGUUUGUUUUUUUAUUUGUUUGUUUGUUUCUUUUUAAAAACUUUUAAUUUUGAAAUAAUUAUAGAUUCAUAAGAAGUUGCAAAGAUAGUAGAGAGAGUUUCCUUGGAACCUUUCAUCCAGUUUCCCCCAAUGGUUACAUUUUACAUAAUUAUAGUACAGUAUCCAAACCAGGUGUUUGACAUUGGUAUAAAGUUGUGUAUGGUUCUGUGUCAUUUUAUCACAUGUGUAGAUUUGUGUAACCACCACCACAAUCAAGUACCUGAAAGAUCUCCCUCCUGCUACUCUUAUAUAGUCACACUCACCACUUCCCCCUCUACCCCAUCCCUAACUCCUGACAGCCACUAAUCUGUUCUCCAUCUCUACAGUUUUAUCAUUUCAAGAAUGUCAUAUAAAUGGAAUUAUAUAUAUGUAACCUUUUGCGAUUGACAUCUUUUCACUCAACAUAAUGCCUUUCAUAUCCAUCCAAGUUGUUGCCUGUAUCAAUUGUCCAUUCCUUUGUAGUACUGAAUAGUAUUCUAUGGUAUGGAUCCACUACGGUUUGUUUAACCAUUCAUCUGUUGAGGGACAUUUUGUUUGUUUCCAGUUUUGGGGUAUUACAAAUAAAGCAGCUGUGAACAACUGG